rnacentral:lncRNA from 10 species
GAGACAGAAGGGCUGAACAGCUGCCUCACACCUCUUUUUAAGUCAUUAAUCCCAGAGCCCUCAUGACUUAAUCACUUCCUCAAGGCCCCACCUCUACAUACUAUCUCACUGGCAAAUACAUUUCCACAUUUGAAUUUUGGAGGACACAUUCAGACCACUGCACCCCUCAAGUUGGUUAGUGUCUUUGAAUAUCUUUUUUCAUGCUGUGACAAUCUCAUGGUUUCAAACUUUUCUUCUAUCUGUGUUAAUCCCAAAUAUCUUUGUUCUCAGUCAUCUCCCUAGUUUCCAUCUUUCUCCCAGACCUCCUCUCUACAUAAAUAACCUGCAUGCACUGUAAAAUCCAUGUAUCAAAAAACUGAACUUGUGUAAUUCUCUUCCAAAUCUGUCCCCAGCUUCUAGAAGAGCUGGACACAUUUCCCAAAAUCUCUCUAGGUGGGCCAUGUGACGGAGUUCUGUCCAAAGGAACAUGGGCGGAAGAGAUAUGCACCACUUCCAGGCCUGACCCAGAAACAUUUUCCACACAGACUUUUCCUUCUUUUCCUAUGUGCUCUUUCAACAAAGAGGGCUCUAUGGACUGAGAGAAAGGCAGAGCCCCAAGAGGAAGGAGCCUGGGUCGCAGAAAGACUAGGUGGAAAGCUGUCCACUGACCACAAACAUCCACAUGGGACAUCAUAUGAGAGAGAAAUAAACCUGGGAAUAGUUACUUAACUUCUUUGGGUCCUAGUCUCUGGGCAAAGAGGAAAAGCUCAAUAAAUAUCAGCUGACAUUAUAUUAGGAAAUAAAGUUUACUUCUCCUUAAUUUCUUUUUCUUAGGCAAGGCGGAGCACCGGGGGUGAGUGGGAUUGGUGAAAAGCACUAAAUGACAUUUGCCUAUUACAAAAUGCUAAUUGGUACAUUUAAAUAAGAUGACAUUGUGACAAUAACUCACAGAUUAAAGACAUUUUCUUCUGGAUCCCAGACAUUAGAUUUUAAGACUGAUUUCUUGCUAAAAACACUCAAAUCUAGUUAAAAUGUGAAAUAUAAACAGAAUGUGGUACCCACUUCUUUCCCCCUGUGACACUGAGUGUCCGGGGAUGUUCUAAAACACAAUUAACAAUCCACAUCAUUUCUGUGGCUUCAAAUUGGCACAAAAUCUGUACAAAGAAUACUUUGUGCUGCUAUAAUACUCAACUGAUACAGUUUAAUUAUGAUCA